AGGGGUGUAGCUCAGUCCGGGUAGAGCAGCGGUCUCCAAAACCGCAGGUCGGGGGUGCGAAUCCCUCCACCCCUGCCA
rnacentral:tRNA from 1 species